AUUGAACGCUGGCGGCAGGCUUAACACAUGCAAGUCGAGCGGGGUGAUGGUGCUUGCACUAUCACUUAGCGGCGGACGGGUGAGUAAUGCUUAGGAAUCUGCCUAUUAGUGGGGGACAACAUCUCGAAAGGGAUGCUAAUACCGCAUACGUCCUACGGGAGAAAGCAGGGGAUCACUUGUGACCUUGCGCUAAUAGAUGAGCCUAAGUCGGAUUAGCUAGUUGGUGGGGUAAAGGCCUACCAAGGCGACGAUCUGUAGCGGGUCUGAGAGGAUGAUCCGCCACACUGGGACUGAGACACGGCCCAGACUCCUACGGGAGGCAGCAGUGGGGAAUAUUGGACAAUGGGGGGAACCCUGAUCCAGCAAUGCCGCGUGUGUGAAGAAGGCCUGAGGGUUGUAAAGCACUUUCAGUGGGGAGGAGGUUUGAUUGGUUAAGAGCUGAUUAAAUGGACGUUACCCACAGAAGAAGCACCGGCUAACUCCGUGCCAGCCGCCGCCGUAA
rnacentral:rRNA from 1 species